rnacentral:rRNA from 1 species
AAGGCUAAAUACUCCUGACUGACCGAUAGUGAACCAGUACCGUGAGGGAAAGGCGAAAAGAACCCCGGCGAGGGGAGUGAAAAAGAACCUGAAACCGUGUACGUACAAGCAGUGGGAGCCCCACCACUAAGCCAGUGGUGAACUCCACAUCCGCAUCCUUUGCUGAGGAUACGGUUAACGGAGCGAAAGCGACGUUCAACCGCAAAACAAGCAGAGGGGGCUUAGUGGUGGGGUGACUGCGUACCUUUUGUAUAAUGGGUCAGCGACUUAUAUUCUGUAGCAAGGUUAACCGAAUAGGGGAGCCGGAGGGAAACCGAGUCUUAAUUGGGCGUUAAGUUGCAGGGUAUAGACCCGAAACC